rnacentral:lncRNA from 1 species
GCUGCAACUUCUCGAUCUCCUUCUCCAGCCUUAAGAUCUCCUCCAUCUGACGCCUCUCUUCUUCUUGCAGUGGAAUAUCUGCUUCCUCGGUCUUUACCGUUUGCACCGGAGCCACCUGGAGCAGAGCAUUCAGCUGUUCCUUCUCUCUCUUCCUCCUCCCGCUUCCUCCUACGCUCUUUCUCUUCUUGCCAUUGUCUUUCCUCUUCCUCUCUUCUGAUCUGUUCUUCCUUCUCUCGCCUCCUCCUCUCCUCUGCUUCCUGCUGCCGCCGGAGCUCCUGCUGCCGCAGGCGUCGGUAGAGGCUGCGAGCCAGGUGGCCACGCCAGUGCUUCUGCAGGACGAUGGCAGAGGCCUUCAGCCGCAGCAGGCUCUUCUUCCAGAAGUACGC